GGGCGGAUUUGCAUAUUUGUCACCCCCGCGCUGAUUGGCCGCGCGGCCGGGGCCGCUGACGGGGCGAUUCUGCGGGGACGGGCGGGCGGCCCGAGCCGUGCCGCGCCAGGGACGAGGAUGGAGCGAGGCGGACCCGCGCCCGAGCGACCCCGGGUCAGAGCCGCACGUGCGGAGGCGGCCGCUCCUCCCCUGGGCCAGCCUCGGCCCGUCGCAGAGCGGAGAGAUCGUGGCCGCGGUGGCGGGAAGGAAGCAGCUCUUAUGUGCCCUGUUUGCUGGAAACCAGCGUUGGAGGACUGUUGGAUGAGGCCUUAAGGGCCAGUGCUCCUGCCGGCCGCACCCUGCCUUGGCCCUCGCGCUAGCGUGGGGUGGCACCUGCCGUGGUGCUGAAGGCCGCCUUAUCUACAAAUAUAAGCUGAACAGAAAUCCUACAGUUGUUCAAAGAUGCUAAAGUCUGGAUGAACCAGACACCUCUAGAAGAUCCCGGAGGGGCAAGGGGAGAAAUGAUAGCUCCUGGAAGAGCUGGAAACGUGGCAGAUGGUAGAGUUUGUGCUGGACGGUCAGGACCAGAGAAAACUGAAGCUAGAAAAAAACAGAGGAUGGACUGACUGACUGUCUUAUGCUACAGAGCUAGAAACUUUGCGGACAAAAGAGUGCAAGCAGCAACUUUGGCUGCUUCUAGGCCACAAGGCUGAGAUGAGGGUUCAGUGGAGGGUCUUGCGGACUUCUCCAACUGCAGAGCUAGGACAAGAGGGGAGUGGAAAGUGGACUCCUGCACAGAGAGCUGAGGAGAUGCUAGGUGAGGCUGGGGUAGUUGGUUGACACAAGAUCCUGGAGCAGAAGAGACCAACCCUAUAUCCCAUGGACUGUGUGUUGUGGUGAUGAAACUCCCAAAACAAGAAAUAAGGGCACAAUUUAAACUCUUCUGCAAUAAUGGGUAGGCAAAAUACAGCCCAUGGCCCAGAUCCAGCCCACAGAGGGACUCCAGCCUCAGCCUCGUGGAAACUGGCUGGGACCUGCAAGUACGGCCGUGGCCUGGCCUGCCCUGUGCCUACACUGAGCCCACCCCUGCUGGAGUAGACCAGCCAGGACAUGCAUGCACUGACACAACCCUGGCCUGUGGGCCCAUCUGCCUACAGUUGAGUGGCAGCAGCCAGGUGAAGCUGCUGCUGGGCACAAGGGAGAAGUGACCUCACCCCAUCGCUGCUGCCGGCCCCUUCUUGCUGCGGGUGCCCAGCAGGGCAGCAGUAGCAGUGGAGAGGACCCACAGGGCAGCCUGGCGAGGUUUCUGGCAGCAGCAAGGGGGGGGGCACUUUUCUCCCACACCCAGCAGCAGCUUGUGCCUGGCUGGCACUGCUGCUCAGCAUGUUUGAAGUUGUGCACGUGGGUCCUGGCUGGUCUGGAGCUGGACUCCUCUGGCUAGGGUAAGUCCUGGGUGGGUUGGGGCAGGCUGCUGCUGGCCACUGGUGGCUGUGAGGAGCCGCAGGGUGGACUCCACGGUUUUGUGAGGAGUGGUGCAGACUAGCCCACGACAGCUCCUGAAACUGCCCAGGUGGCUCGCAGGCCCAAGUAAUUGCCCACCCCAUGCUAUAACAAUUCUCUUGCCUCAGGUGCCUUCCAUUGUGAGCCUUUUUAUCAUUACAACCUCUAUCAAACUUAUGUACACUUCAAAAUUAUAAGGUGCUACAUAGUAGAAUACAAUACAAGGUCUUAGAAUUUCUCAUAAGGUACUACCAACUAAAUGUGUUUGGAUACCUCUUAGCAACCCUCACUCCAGCCCCAUCUCGGUUAGUCCAAAAAGAUGCUACUAGUGUUUGAAAAAUUUCAAGCUUAUUAAUUUUCCUCCAGUGAUGGUGACUUGCAAGCACUCAUUUUCUAAAAGGUUUUAGGAAGCAUAUAUACCUAAUGUUUUAGCUGACAUUAGUCACCCUAUUGUCUUAUUUCCUUAAUGUGACUGUCAGUAGUAUUCUACUUUUGACAAAUAUUCUCAGAACUGCAAAUAGGGUGAAUGGUAGAGCCUGAUGCUACCCUAAAAUGGCAAAGAACAUGAGUCACAGAUGCAACUGAAAAAUGGGAACAAGAAAUGGUUUUAUUGGUCCACAGGACACAAGUUGUCUGCUGUUGCCUCCUUGUCUUUUCACAAAAGUUACACAUACAUGUACUUGAAUAAAAUCUACAGAUUUA